UUCUGCCCAAUGAUUAAUUAAAUGGCUGCAGUAUUUUGACUGUACAAAGGUAGCAUAAUAAUUAGUUUUUUAAUUGAAAACUGGAAUGAAUGAAUAUACGAGAUUUUUACUUUAUUUUUUUUAAUAUUAGAAUUUAAUCUUUAAGUAAAAAAGCUUAAUUUAUUUAUCGGGACGAUAAGACCCUAUAGAACUUUAAAUAUUUAAAUUAUAUUUUAAUUUAGAUUAAUUUUUUAUAAUUUAAUUAUUAUUAGUUGGGGUGAUUAAUAAAUUUUUACUACUUUAUUUUUUAAAAUCAUAUUUUUAUGUUUUUUAUGAUCUUAAUUUUUAAAUUAAAAGACUUAGUUACCUUAGGGAUAACAGCGUAAUUUUAAUGGUGAGUUCACAUUUAUAUUAGAGUUUGCGACCUCGAUGUUGAAUUAAGAUUAAAAAAAGGGGUAG
rnacentral:rRNA from 1 species